rnacentral:tRNA from 1 species
UCAAUAUGGCAGACCAUAUGCAACUAACUUAAGAUUAGUAUAAAAUCCAUCCGGAUUUAUUGGC